UGGUCCCUGAGAAGAAGUCGCCCAUGUUCUUUUCGCUGAAUAUGUGCCGAAACAAACAUGGUGCACUUCUUCUCCGGCAUCA
ensembl:miRNA